AAACGUCUUUUGUAGUUCACAUGGAUCAAGAUCUCCCAAUUUGGUUCACAGAGUCUAUAUGAGUCUGUAAAGUAGAUGACAAAAAAAAAAAUAGACACAAACUAGUCAUAUCAUAGGUAUUUUCUUAAUUUCUUAAUUUUUUUAGGGUUUUAAACCAAUUCACCCAAUUUUAAAUCUUCUUCUCCGCCUAAACACUCUCUUCUUCUCCGUAAAUACCUCCCUCCCCCCAAUCUAUUCUCCUCUGCUCCAAAUUAACAAAGCCUCUCUCAGUAUAUCAAUUUUCGUU
rnacentral:lncRNA from 1 species